CCUACGGGAGGCAGCAGUAAGGAAUAUUGGACAAUGGUCGCAAGACUGAUCCAGCCAUGCCGCGUGAAGGAUGAAGGCCCUAUGGGUUGUAAACUUCUUUUGUAUGGGAAAAAACCCCUCUACGUGUAGAGGGCUGAUUGUACCAUAAGAAUAAGGAUCGGCUAACUCCGUGCCAGCAGCCGCGGUAAUACGGAGGAUCCAAGCGUUAUCCGGAUUCAUUGGGUUUAAAGGGUGCGUAGGCGGAAUGAUAAGUCAGUGGUGAAAGCCUGCAGCUUAACUGCAGAACUGCCAUUGAUACUGUCAAUCUUGAGUACAUUUGAUGAGGGCGGAAUGUGUCAUGUAGCGGUGAAAUGCUUAGAUAUGACACAGAACACCGAUUGCGAAGGCAGCUCUCAAAACUGUAACUGACGCUGAGGCACGAAAGCGUGGGUAUCAAACAGGAUUAGAUACCCUGGUAGUCCACGCUGUAAACUAUGAUUACUCGAUGUUUGCGAUACACUGUAAAGCGUCUAAGCGAAAGCGAUAAGUUAAUUCCACCUUGGGGAGUACGCUUCGCAAGAGUUGAAACUUCAAAAGGAAUUGACGGNGUUGGAGAGNGCGAGGACGACACGAGGGAGAAGG
rnacentral:rRNA from 1 species